GUAUUCACUUCGGUAGCACAUAUUCUGGAGUUGGAAUGAGACAAGAUUAGCAUGGCCCCUGCACAAGGAUGGCAGACAAAUCCGUGAAGCCUUCUGUGUUUAA